rnacentral:sRNA from 1 species
GAGGCUCGCCGCCGCGAGCGUCAGGAAGAUGUAGAAGAUGGCUGCCGAGUUAUAGGGCGCAAAGGGCAGGAAACUCGCCGACUGGAACUCGC